CAGCGGAGGAAACAAGAACUCCAUCACUGUUGUGGCCGGAAACAAGCUGAGGCUGGACGUGGAGAUCAGCGGAGAGCCGGAGCCCACCGUCUGCUGGAAGAGGGGCGAGGAGGUGAUCUCGGAGGCUGAGGGCAGAGUGCGUGUGGAGAAGAAGAAGGGGCUGUGCAGUUUCGUGAUAGAGGAAGCGAAGAAGAGCGACGAGGGGCCGUACGCCAUCACGGUGACCAACCCGGCCGGAGAGGACCACGCCGAGCUCUUCGUCAAGGUCGUGGAUGUGCCUGAGCCUCCAGAGAACGUGCGUUGUUCUUCAGUGGGG